ACGCUCGACACCUACGGGAGACAGCAGUAGGGAAUCUUCCACAAUGGACGCAAGUCUGAUGGAGCAACGCCGCGUGAGUGAAGAAGGUCUUCGGAUCGUAAAACUCUGUUGUUAGAGAAGAACACGAGUGAGAGUAACUGUUCAUUCGAUGACGGUAUCUAACCAGCAAGUCACGGCUAACUACGUGCCAUCAGCCGCGGUAAUCUGAGCGGGCUGGCAAGGC
rnacentral:rRNA from 1 species